rnacentral:piRNA from 1 species
AGGAGUCACCUGUGCCACAGAUGGU